AAGGCUUUAAGCUUUAGUACCAUCAUUGAUUUUUGAACACCAAUGGAUACCUUAAUCAAUUGGUUGCCUAGUUUCAGAGAAAACCUUCCAUUUUUCAGAUCCAACGUAAUUACUGGAAAUUGACAUUGACAAUUUACAAUUCGCCAUAAUCUACCAUCAUUCCAUUCUGAGUCCCAGUCCAUUAGCCAUUUUAAUUGGAUUUCUAUUAACGUUUUCGAGUUAAAUGCAAUUUUCAUAGACCAUUUAUUAGUAUUAUUGAGGCCAAAAAGCGUUGCCAGUUUCCUAUGAAUUAUUUGUUGAAUUUUGAUGCCAUAAUCAAGCCAAUUAGAUGAAAGGAGCCAGUCAAAACCAAUUGAUGUAUUUUAGUUGCGAAAGUGAUCCUGUUAACCUCGAUAGCGCCUUUAUUAUUGAAUCGUCAAUACAUACAUGUCAUCAGCGUAUCCGACGAUGUUUAUCCCUUUUCUUCUCAAGAUUUUUAUUAUUUCAUUCGCUGCUACUAUGAAUAAUAAAGGACCACUUGAGCUUCCUUGAGGUGUUGCACCUUCUUCGGUUCUCCAAUGGAUUCUCUUUUCCCAAUUCCAUCUUAACCAUCUUUUUGAUGAGAUGUUUUCAACCAGUGCUGAUAAUUGAGGAUCCAGAGUUUUGAUCUU